AGAGUUUGAUUCUGGCUCAGAACGAACGCUGGCAGCGUGGAUUAGGCAUGCAAGUCGAACGGGAUCCCUUGGAUUCAAUCUUCGGAGAGUUUCCUUGGGUGAGAGUGGCGAAAGGGUGAGUAACGCGUAGGCAAUCUACCCUCUAGUGGGGGACAACCCCGCGAAAGCGGGGCUAAUACCGCAUGUGGUCUUCCGGUGCAUAUCGGAAUGAUUAAAGGUGGGGAUCCUUCGGGACCUGCCGCUGGAGGAGGAGCCUGCGUACCAUCAGCUUGUUGGUAGGGUAACGGCCUACCAAGGCUUACGGUUAGCUGGUCUGAGAGGAUGAUCAGCCACACUGGGACUGAGAUACUGCCCAGACUCCUACGGGAGGCUGCAGUCGAGGAUCAUUCGCAAUGCGCGAAAGCGUGACGAUGCGACGCUGCGUGGAGGAUGAAGGCCUUCGGGUUGUAAACUCCUGUCAAGAGGGACAAGACGUCCGUCCCCGAAUAAGGGAUGGGCCCGAUGGUACCUCUAGAGGAAGCCACGGCUAACUCUGUGCCAGCAGCCGCGGUAAUACAGAGGUGGCGAGCGUUGUUCGGAUUUACUGGGCGUAAAGCGUACGUAGGCGGCCAGGUGUGUCGGAUGUGAAAGCCCACGGCUCAACCGUGGAACUGCGUUCGAAACUGCCUGGCUAGAGUGCGGGAGGGGAGAGCAGAAUUCCUGGUGUAGCGGUGAAAUGCGUUGAUAUCAGGAAGAAUACCGGUGGCGAAGGCGGCUCUCUGGAAUGUGUCUGACGCUGAGGUACGAAAGCGAGGGGAGCAAACAGGAUUAGAUACCCUGGUAGUCCACGCCGUAAACGGUGCGCACUUGGUGUUGGAGGAAUUGACCCCUCCAGUGCCGGAGCUAACGCGUUAAGUGCGCCGCCUGGGGAGUACGGUCGCAAGAUUAAAACUCGAAGAAAUUGACGGGGGCCCGCACAAGCGGAGGAGCAUGUGGCUUAAUUCGAUGCAACGCGAAGAACCUUACCUGGGCUUGACAUCUAGCUGCACGCCCUGGGAAACCAGGGAAGCUUUCGAAGGUGCUAGACAGGUGCUGCAUGGCUGUCGUCAGUUCGUGCCGUGAGGUGUUGGGUUAAGUCCCGCAACGAACGCAACCCUUGUGUUUAGUUGCCAGUGGUGAGUUAUCACCGCGCACUCUAGACAGACUGCCCGUACAAGCGGGAGGAAGGUGGGGAUGACGUCAAGUCAGUAUGGCCCUUACGCCCAGGGCUGCACACGUGCUACAAUGGCCGGUACAGAAGGACGCAAUACCGCGAGGUGGAGCAAAUCCCCAAAGCCGGCCCCAGUUCGGAUUGGAGUCUGCAACUCGACUCCAUGAAGUUGGAUUCGCUAGUAACGGCGUAUCAGCUACGACGCCGUGAAUACGUUCCCGGGCCUUGUACACACCGCCCGUCACAUCGUGAAAGCCGUCUGCACCCGAAGUCGCUGAGCUAACCAUUUAUGGAGGCAAGUGCCGAAGGUGUGGGUGGUGAUUGGGAUGAAGUCGUAACAAGGUA
rnacentral:rRNA from 1 species